rnacentral:rRNA from 1 species
AAUAGAUACCCGGGUAGUCCACGCCGUAAACGAUGAGUGCUAAGUGUUAGAGGGUUUCCGCCCUUUAGUGCUGCAGCUAACGCAUUAAGCACUUCGCCUGGGGAGUACGGUCGCAAGACUGAAACUCAAAGGAAUUGACGGGGGCCCGCACAAGCGGUGGAGCAUGUGGUUUAAUUCGAAGCAACGCGAAGAACCUUACCAGGUCUUGACAUCCUCUGACAACUCUAGAGAUAGAGCGUUCCCCUUCGGGGGACAGAGUGACAGGUGGUGCAUGGUUGUCGUCAGCUCGUGUCGUGAGAUGUUGGGUUAAGUCCCGCAACGAGCGCAACCCUUGAUCUUAGUUGCCAGCAUUUAGUUGGGCACUCUAAGGUGACUGCCGGUGACAAACCGGAGGAAGGUGGGGAUGACGUCAAAUCAUCAUGCCCCUUAUGACCUGGGCUACACACGUGCUACAAUGGAUGGUACAAAGGGCUGCAAGACCGCGAGGUCAAGCCAAUCCCAUAAAACCAUUCUCAGUUCGGAUUGUAGG